AUACGGUAAAAGGAUGUUCGAACAAGGCUAAUUGUUAUGAACAAAGCGAUGCGAUGACGUGCUGUGACACUGAUCGGUGUAACGGUGAUCAAAGUGUUAAGCCGAGUCUCUCAGUCACAAGUGCGAAUUCUGCUUACGAUUUACAGACUCCUACAUCUCUGAAGUGUUACAACUGUGAUGGACUGAUAUGUGAUCAUCAACCUGUCACUUGUCCUUUUCCUGCAGAUCGAUGCUUUACCCUAACCAAGACUACAUUUUUUGUACUUAAUCAUACUGUAAAGGGAUGUUCUACCAAGACUCAGUGUGAGGAAACCGGAACAGACGCAGUGUGCUGUGAGGAGAACCUGUGUAACAGUGCUGAGGGGGUUAAGCUGAGGCUCUUCAUCAUGCUGGCUCCUCUGAUCUCCUCCAUCC